GACGAACGCUGGCGGCGUGCUUAACACAUGCAAGUCGAACGGUGAUGCUCCAGCUUGCUGGAGUGGAUCAGUGGCGAACGGGUGAGUAACACGUGAGCAACCUGCCCCAGACUCUGGAAUAAGCGCUGGAAACGGCGUCUAAUACUGGAUACGAAACUGGCCCGCAUGGGCAUGGUUUGGAAAGUUUUUCGGUUUGGGAUGGGCUCGCGGCCUAUCAGCUUGUUGGUGAGGUAAUGGCUCACCAAGGCGACGACGGGUAGCCGGCCUGAGAGGGCGACCGGCCACCCUGGGCCUGAGACACGGCCCAGACUCCUACGUGAGGCAGCAGUGGGGAAUAUUGCACAAUGGGCGAAAGCCUGAUGCAGCGACGCCGCGUGAGGGAUGACGGCCUUCGGGUUGUAAACCUCUUUCAGCAGGGAAGAAGCGAAAGUGACGGUACCUGCAGAAGAAGCACCGGCUAACUACGUG
rnacentral:rRNA from 1 species